AGAGUUUGAUCCUGGCUCAGAAUGAACGCUGGCGGCGUGCUUAACACAUGCAAGUCGUACGAGAACUCUUUAGCUUGCUAAAGAUAGUAAAGUGGCGCACGGGUGAGUAACGCGUGGGUAAUCUACCUUCGAAUCGGGGAUAACAUUGCGAAAGCGAUGCUAAUACCGGAUAAUAUCUCAAAACCAUCUGGUUUUGAGAUCAAAAAUGGCCUCUACAUGUAAGCUGUUGUUUGGAGAUGAGCCCGCGUACCAUUAGCUUGUUGGUAGGGUAAUGGCCUACCAAGGCAACGAUGGUUAGCUGGUCUGAGAGGAUGAUCAGCCACACUGGAACUGACACACGGUCCAGACUCCUACGGGAGGCAGCAGUGAGGAAUUUUGCGCAAUGGGGGAAACCCUGACGCAGCAACGCCGCGUGAGUGAUGAAGGCCCUCGGGUCGUAAAGCUCUGUCAAGUGGGAAGAAAAUGUAAAAUGUUAAUACCAUUUUUCACUGACGGUACCACUGAAGGAAGCACCGGCUAACUCCGUGCCAGCAGCCGCGGUAAUACGGAGGGUGCAAGCGUUAUUCGGAAUUAUUGGGCGUAAAGGGCGCGUAGGCGGCCUUUUAAGUCAGAUGUGGAAGCCUUGGGCUUAACCCAAGAAGUGCAUUUGAAACUGUCAGGAUUGAGUCGUGCAAGGGAGGGCGGAAUUCCUGGUGUAGCGGUGAAAUGCGUAGAUAUCAGGAGGAAGGCCGGUGGUGAAGACGGCCCUCUAGGCAAUGACUGACGCUGAGGCGCGAAAGCGUGGGUAGCAAACAGGAUUAGAUACCCUGGUAGUCCACGCCCUAAACGGUGCGUACUAGGUGUGGGUGGCGAUAGUCAUCCGUGCCGUAGGGAAACCAUUAAGUACGCCGCCUGGGGAGUACGGCCGCAAGGUUAAAACUCAAAGAAAUUGACGGGGGCCCGCACAAGUGGUGGAGCAUGUGGUUUAAUUCGACGCUACGCGCAAAACCUUACCUGGGCUUGACAUGUUAGUAGUAGUGAACCGAAAGGGGAACGAUUCCUAGCAAUAGGAAAGCUAUCACAGGUGCUGCAUGGCUGUCGUCAGCUCGUGCCGUGAGGUGUUGGGUUAAGUCCCGCAACGAGCGCAACCCUCAUCCUCUGUUGCCCUUAACGGGGAUCUCUGAGGAAACUGCCGGCGAAGAGCCGGAGGAAGGUGGGGAUGACGUCAAGUCCGCAUGGCCCUUAUGCCCAGGGCUACACACGUGCUACAAUGGUAGAUACAGAGGGUGGCCAAACCGCGAGGUGGAGCCAAUCCCACAAAGUCUAUCUAAGUUGGGAUCGGAGUCUGCAACUCGACUCCGUGAACCUGGAAUCGCUAGUAAUCGUGGAUCAGCACGCCACGGUGAAUACGUUCCCGGGCCUUGUACACACCGCCCGUCACACCACGAAAGUCUGCUGUACCCGAAGUAGGCGAGCUAACCCGCAAGGGAAGCAGUCUCCUAAGGUAUGGCCGGUAAUUGGGGUGAAGUCGUAACAAGGUAACC
rnacentral:rRNA from 1 species